rnacentral:misc_RNA from 1 species
AAGUCGUAACAAGGUUUCCGUAGGUGAACCUGCGGAAGGAUCAUUAACACAAUACUUUCUAUUAUCAAUAACCUUCGUGAACCUGUCUGAGCCUUUCUUGGCGGGGGUCGUCUAGAUCAUGGUUUGGCAUGCGGUCUAGCCUGCUGUUAAGUUAGCCCGUCAAAAUGACUCCCCCUUCUUCUUCUUCGAAGAGGAAGCGCUGAGUGCUUUGACGAUCGGUCUAACGCCCCGUCUUUUUAGGUGAAACGGUCUCUACCAUGACUGUGCCCAAUUUUUUUUUUAACCUUUGAUUUCUUUGUACUGAUUUGGGCUGUCGUUGCGAUUGAGAGGAGCAAUCCUUUCUCCAAUCCAGCUUGUGUUGAAUGCUUUUUUAGUCAUUCACUCACUAACCAAAACACAACUCUUAACAGUGGAUAUCUCGGUUCUC